CAGUCGCCGCGGGAAUACGAGGGGUGCAAGCGUUACUCGGAAUUACUGGGCGUAAAGCGUGCGUAGGUGGUGGUUUAAGUCCGUUGUGAAAGCCCUGGGCUCAACCUGGGAAUUGCAGUGGAUACUGGGUCACUAGAGUGUGGUAGAGGAUAGUGGAAUUUCCGGUGUAGCAGUGAAAUGCGUAGAGAUCGGAAGGAACAUCUGUGGCGAAGGCGACUAUCUGGGCCAACACUGACACUGAGGCACGAAAGCGGGGGGAGCAAACAGGAUUAGAUACCCGAGUAGUCCCUGUCUCUUAUAC
rnacentral:rRNA from 1 species